rnacentral:rRNA from 1 species
AUUGAACGCUGGCGGCAGGCCUAACACAUGCAAGUCGAGCGGAUGAGUGGAGCUUGCUCCAUGAUUCAGCGGCGGACGGGUGAGUAAUGCCUAGGAAUCUGCCUGGUAGUGGGGGACAACGUUUCGAAAGGAACGCUAAUACCGCAUACGUCCUACGGGAGAAAGUGGGGGAUCUUCGGACCUCACGCUAUCAGAUGAGCCUAGGUCGGAUUAGCUAGUUGGUGAGGUAAAGGCUCACCAAGGCGACGAUCCGUAACUGGUCUGAGAGGAUGAUCAGUCACACUGGAACUGAGACACGGUCCAGACUCCUACUGGAGGCAGCAGUGGGGAAUAUUGGACAAUGGGCGAAAGCCUGAUCCAGCCAUGCCGCGUGUGUGAAGAAGGUCUUCGGAUUGUAAAGCACUUUAAGUUGGGAGGAAGGGCAGUAAGUUAAUACCUUGCUGUUUUGACGUUACCAACAGAAUAAGCACCGGCUAACUUCGUGCCAGCCGCCGCCGUAAGAC